rnacentral:rRNA from 1 species
AUUGAACGCUGGCGGCAUGCUUUACACAUGCAAGUCGAACGGUAACAGGCCGCAAGGUGCUGACGAGUGGCGAACGGGUGAGUAAUGCAUCGGAACGUGCCCAGUCGUGGGGGAUAACGCAGCGAAAGUUGCGCUAAUACCGCAUACGAUCUAUGGAUGAAAGCGGGGGACCGUAAGGCCUCGCGCGAUUGGAGCGGCCGAUGUCAGAUUAGGUAGUUGGUGGGGUAAAGGCUCACCAAGCCGACGAUCUGUAGCUGGUCUGAGAGGACGACCGGCCACACUGGGACUGAGACACGGCCCAGACUCCUACGGGAGGCAGCAGUGGGGAAUUUUGGACAAUGGGCGCAAGCCUGAUCCAGCAAUGCCGCGUGCAGGAAGAAGGCCUUCGGGUUGUAAACUGCUUUUGUACGGAACGAAACGGUCCUGGUUAAUACCCGGGGCUGAUGACGGUACCGUAAGAAUAAGCACCGGCUAACUACGUGCCAGCCGCCGCUGUAA